GAUCGCCGUGUGCGGUGAAAGCCGCCUGCACGGUGAAGGCGUUAACGAAAGCCGGGAAGGUAUAAGUGACGAAUGGCACAUGGGUAAAUCCUCAAAUUAGCAGUGCAUCUUAU
rfam:Bacillus sp. FJAT-27231 Scaffold1, whole genome shotgun sequence.